rnacentral:rRNA from 1 species
UAGAUGCAGUUUUGCAUAUAGACCUUAUCGAAGUGCUAAAGAUGCCUGUCAAUAUAUUUGAUUUCUUUUAAGUAGACAGCGAGGCAACCCUAGAUGAAUUUUCGAAAGAGAUAUCAAGGGUUUCUUUGAUAAUAUAUGCCAUGAGUGAAUAUUAGAAAAUAUUCCUAUGGAUAAAAAGAUAUUGUCAAAAAUGUUAAAAGCUGGCGUUAUGAAUGAAGGCAGUUAUCAAGAUACUGAAGAAGGUAUUCCACAGGGUGGUGUAAUAUCUCCUAUUAUAGCUAAUUUAUGCCUUGAUGGUUUAGAUAAAACUAUAAAAAGGGCGUCUAAUAAUAAAGCAACUCUUGUGAGAUAUGCGGAUGAUUUCAUUAUAGUGUCCCAGAACUAUGAUAUUUUAGAUAAGUUAAUUCUAGAUGUUAACAAAUUUCUAAAAAUAAGAGGUUUAGAAUUAAAUAUGGAAAAAAGUAAAAUCACUAAAAUUGAAAAUGGAUUUGAUUUUGUAGGUUUCCACUUUAGGGAAUUCUCGGAUUCUACUCGAGAAAUCGGGGAAAAGAAAGGGAUUUUUCUAUACAAACCUACAAAAGAAAGCUUACAAAAAGUAAAAGCUAAAAUAAAACUUUGUGUCAAAGAACAUUCGCAACUUCCUCUGUGAAUGCUUUUCUCAAAACUAAAUCCAAUAUUAAGGGGCUGAGCAAAUUAUUACUCGUCUAGUACUGCAAAGUUAGCUUAUACCCGAAUAAGUAAAUACGUUUUUGAUUCCAUUCAUCGCAUGAUAAAAAUUAAGCAUCCAAAGCUUAAUGCUAAAGCGCUUAAAUCCAAAUUUUAUCACAAAGUGAAUAAUAGAGAUUGAUUAAUGUCUACUAGCACUGAAUUUAAAAGAUUUAAGAAAAUUAAUUUGUUUCAAAUAUCCGACACUCCUAUUAAAAGAACUACUAUGAUAAAACUUGACGCUAAUUCCUAUUUGGGUGAGUUUGAGGAGUAUUUUAAUAAAAGAUCUUUGAAUAUGUGUUUUAAUCAGCAAACGAAUAAUAUUCGAUUAAAGCUGGCAAAAAGACAAAAAGGUAUGUGCCCUAUAUGUAAAGAAUCUUUAAAUAGUCAAUAUGGAGAUAUAUUGUACGAAUUAGAAAUUCACCAUAUCAUACCUGUGGUGAGUGGAGGUAAAAAUAUAUUAAAAAAUAUGACUCUUCUUCAUAAAACGUGUCAUCGCGACAGAGCUGCGUUAGAAAACUUUGACUUAAGGAACUCGGCAAAUUUGCUCCGUACGUUCGCAACAAGGAGUACCUUAAAGGAUUCAAAAAUUAGGGGUAGCGACUGUUUAACAAAAACUCAAAACUUUGCAAAUUCGAAAGAAGACGUAUAAGGUUUGACGCCUGCCCAGUGCUUGAAAGCGAAAAAUACACGUUAACGCUUGUAUCAUAAACUCAAGUAAACGGCGGUCUUAACUAUAAGGAUCCUCAGGUAGCGAAAUUCCUUGGCGGGUAAAUUCCGUCCUGCAUGAAUGGCGUCACGACUACCCCACUGUCUCUAGUAUAAACUCAGCGAAAUUACAUUGUCUGUGAAAAUGCAGACAUCCUACAACAAGACGGAAAGACCCUAUGAUUCUUAACUAUAAUUUUACGUCGCAAUAAUUUUGUGUACAGUACAGUAAAAGUAGGAGUAUACUUAUACAAUUUUGAAAAACUACUCUGUACAUAAGAAAUUGCUUACUGAAGAGAAAAUAUGUAAAAGUGGUAGUUUACUUGGGACGAGGACCUCCUAAACUGUAACGGAGGUGCACAAAAGUAAAUUUUAAUUAGUUUUUUGUAUUAAUAAAAUAUGUAAUGGUAAAAAUUUGCUUGACGGUAAGAGUUACAACUCAAACCGGGACGAAAGUCGGUCAUAAUGAUCCGGCAGUAAUGUAUGGAAAUACUGUCGCUUAUCGGAAAAAAGAAACUCUAGGGAUAACAGAUUUAUCAUGGCUGAGAGUUCUUAUCGACGCCAUGGUUUGAUACCUCGAUGUCGGCUCAUCUUUUCCUGGAGCUGUAACAGGUUCCAAGGGUAUGGUUGUUCGCCAAAUAAUAAGAUACGUGAGCUGGGUUCAGAACGUCGUGAGACAGUUCGGUCCCUAUCUGUUGUGGGUAAGAAAAAACUAGAUUUAUCUUUAGUACGAGAGGAUUAAGAUAUAUUAACCAAUAGUGUAUCGGUUGUAUUGUUUCUUGCAUUGCCGAGUAGCCACGUUAACAUUAUAUAAGUGCUGACAGCUUAAAAGCACAAAAAUAAUCUUUAUUUUUUCAAGAACUUUCUAGAAGAUUACUAGAUAGAUCGGUUUAUUAUUUAAUACUUGUAAAAGUAAGUAAAUAAAUACGAAAAGUUCAUUAUAAUUUGUGUU